UUGUUUCUUUAAAUGGGGACUAGUAUCAACGGCAUCACGAGGGUCCCACUGUCUCCCCCCUCCAAUCAGUGAAACUGAUCUCCCCGUGAAGAAGCGGGGAUAAGUAUAUUAGACGAGAAGACCCCAUGGAGCUUUAAACCCGACAGCACCCACUUAUUUAACACCUUCUUAUCCGCCUGGCCCCUGUCUGCUCGGUUUUGGGUUGGGGUGACCGCGGAGCAUAAAAUAGCCUCCACGAAAGAAGGGAUGAUUCCCUCAUUUUAGAACUACACUUCCAAAGACUAACAAAUUAAUUUUAAGUGAUCCGAUACCCGUAUUCGAUCAACGAACCAAGUUACCCUGGGGAUAACAGCGCAAUCUACCUCAAGAGCCCCUAUCGACAGGUGGGUUUACGACC
rnacentral:rRNA from 1 species